GGUGGUAAAGGUUACAGUUAAAUUAUCAAAAGCGCUUCUGAAACGCCCGAGUAGAAGCUGCAUCUCAUUCUGCUCGCCUCCGUAGAAAGCAAUAGAUUCAGCAUUUUCCCUGACGCGGACAAGGUUGUAACGAAAGUCAGCCUCUUUCUUCUCUUGCAUAAAGUUGAGAUUCACUAGUCCCUGAGAAAGGGAAAUUAAACUAAUGUCAAAAUGGAAUUAGUUUAAUACUGCAGCAAGCAAGCAAGCAAUAUACCUUGCCGAGAAAGACACUGAUGGCAGUUCCGCCAAGGGAGUAGACCAAGAGAAGGAGAAAGAGCGGAGGA
rnacentral:lncRNA from 1 species